GCCUUUGCGGGCGGCUAACACAUGCAAGUCGAGCGGAUGAAGGGAGCUUGCUCCUGGAUUCAGCGGCGGACGGGUGAGUAAUGCCUAGGAAUCUGCCUGGUAGUGGGGGAUAACGUCCGGAAACGGGCGCUAAUACCGCAUACGUCCUGAGGGAGAAAGUGGGGGAUCUUCGGACCUCACGCUAUCAGAUGAGCCUAGGUCGGAUUAGCUAGUUGGUGGGGUAAAGGCCUACCAAGGCGACGAUCCGUAACUGGUCUGAGAGGAUGAUCAGUCACACUGGAACUGAGACACGGUCCAGACUCCUACGGGAGGCAGCAGUGGGGAAUAUUGGACAAUGGGCGAAAGCCUGAUCCAGCCAUGCCGCGUGUGUGAAGAAGGUCUUCGGAUUGUAAAGCACUUUAAGUUGGGAGGAAGGGCAGUAAGUUAAUACCUUGCUGUUUUGACGUUACCAACAGAAUAAGCACCGGCUAACUUCGUGCCAGCAGCCGCGGUAAUACGAAGGGUGCAAGCGUUAAUCGGAAUUACUGGGCGUAAAGCGCGCGUAGGUGGUUCAGCAAGUUGGAUGUGAAAUCCCCGGGCUCAACCUGGGAACUGCAUCCAAAACUACUGAGCUAGAGUACGGUAGAGGGUGGUGGAAUUUCCUGUGUAGCGGUGAAAUGCGUAGAUAUAGGAAGGAACACCAGUGGCGAAGGCGACCACCUGGACUGAUACUGACACUGAGGUGCGAAAGCGUGGGGAGCAAACAGGAUUAGAUACCCUGGUAGUCCACGCCGUAAACGAUGUCGACUAGCCGUUGGGAUCCUUGAGAUCUUAGUGGCGCAGCUAACGCGAUAAGUCGACCGCCUGGGGAGUACGGCCGCAGGUUAAAACUCAAAUGAAUUUGACGGGGGGCCCGCACAAGCGGUGGAGCAUGUGGUUUAAUUCGAAGCACGCGAAGAAACCUUACCCUGGCCUUUGACAUGCUGAGAACUUUCCAGAGAUGGGAUUGGUUGCUUCGGUGAACUUCAGGACACAGGAGACUGCAUGGGCUGGUCGUGCAGCUUCCGUGUCGCUGGACACUGCUGGAAUAAGUACCGUGUAACGAGCCGAAACCCCUUGCUCCUUACUUACCAGUCACGUCGGGUGGGGCGACUCCUUAGGUAAACUGUCCAGUGACCAACCGGGAGGACAGGUGUGGUGAUGACGUCGAGGUCGAUCAUCGUUCCAUUACGUGCUCGGGCCUGUAACUCACCGCUGU
rnacentral:rRNA from 1 species